UACGUAGGGUGCAAGCGUUAAUCGGAAUUACUGGGCGUAAAGCGUGCGUAGGCGGUUAUGUAAGACAGUUGUGAAAUCCCCGGGCUCAACCUGGGAACUGCAUUUGUGACUGCACAGCUGGAGUGCGGCAGAGGGGGAUGGAAUUCCGCGUGUAGCAGUGAAAUGCGUAGAUAUGCGGAGGAACACCGAUGGCGAAGGCAAUCCCCUGGGCCUGCACUGACGCUCAUGCACGAAAGCGUGGGGAGCAAACAGG
rnacentral:rRNA from 1 species